CGAAAACAGCCACAAUGUAUGUGCUGGACUCGAUGCUACAAUCUGGUAAAGAAUCAAAGAAGAAAAAAAAGAAUAUAAAGAAAGCGAAGGAAGCGAUGUUGCCGAAAGAGAAUGAAAAAAUGGCAUAUUUUAUGAAAAGCAGGUUUGUAGAAAUAUUAAUGAAACUGAAACCUGAACUUGUUGAUGACAAUUAUGACCUUAAGUUGAAAGUGGUGCUUAUGGAAUAGCAACCGACGACAUCUGAUUGUGGAAUGUAUGUCAUCUUUUGCCUUAGACAGUGGAAUAAUACUGCACGAGAGGAAUGGGGCGGCCUUACUAUGCCUCCUCUAACAAUGGAAUAAUUGAGUGAAAUGAGGAGUCAGGUAUUGUAUUGGUUUAUGACUCAUCCACAUAACAGAGUGGGCUCUCAAGUCAUGACGUCCAUUUCGAAUACUGGGCAUGACGAUCUAAAAGAUUGAAAUCAUAGUGUAGACAUUUGUGAUAUGUAAAUUAAACCUUUAUGUAAUUAAGUUUUUUUU